rnacentral:lncRNA from 1 species
GUGACUGCUUUAUUGCAUUUUUUCCAGGGGUGAGCUCUGCCUGUCUCGGGAGACCUCCUUGAUGCCAGCCUCUUUUCUUCAGACCUGCCAUCUGCUCCAGUGAAUAAUUCUACCAAGCGUGUUUCCCAUGAUUUCCCUCAUUAUGUCUCAACAUCCUUCACACAAGAUCUGUAG